UUUUCAAUUGGAGGUCUAAGUUGGGUGUUGAUGAUUGUUUUCCUUAAUUUUGGUACUUAUUAUAUCUGCCCUGAUGUGGGUUUGAAUGUUGGUAACUUGGUAAUGGAAAGUGGCUUCCUUUUGGAUUAAAGGUUCAUUAAAGGUUUCAAGCUUUGGAACACAAAUAGCCCUCUUCGAUAUAUACCAAAUCUUAAAAGAAGGAAUCUUUAGAUCUCAGGUUUACAUUCCACCUAGAUAUAUAAACCCAUUAUCAGGUUCAGCCUCAAUUUUCCCCUUUCUCCUUGCUCUCUCUACCGCUUCGUUCUCCCUCUUGAGUAGCUUCUUCAACGAUUUGAAAAACAAAGAUCACAAUCUGUUCCCCCCACUUAGUGUGCUGUAUCAAUAUCUGAUGCUGCAAAUAUAGUUAAAGAAAGAUGAUCUGCAGCCACUAUGAUAUCUAUACCUGAUAAGCCAUGUUCGAAAACCAAGUGCUUUCUCUUCCAUCUCCUAUAGAUGAGGUCUGUGAUUUUAUUAAUCUUCGACAUUACAAAAGCAAUACAGCAGAUGGUUAUGCAGAAGGUGAGGCAGCGCUGGGUCUCUAUGCGGAGCCUAGGCCACCGGUUUCCAUUUAAAACCUAAAAACCCAUAAAGCAAAAUGUAAUGCAUACUGGGAGUAGUUGCAGACACAAAGAAUAGCUUGGUCGGAAUUGUCCCUCCAAUUGUCCGCUUCAUGUGGCAGCUACUGAAGUACUCUCUCUCAUAUCUGAACUCUCAAUACUGCAGAAGAGGGAAGAAGGGAAAGAGGAAACGAGAGGAGACAGAGAUAUUGAGGAGGUUUUGAUCUGGGUUUUGCUGACGGGACGAACAAAGAUGCAGAGAGGAAGGAAAAGAAGAUGAAGAGGGAGAGCCUUCAGCAAUUAGAUAUGAUCUGAUUGAAAUUUCAAGGUACGAUUUUCACAUUGAAUCCUGUCAAUUGUAUGAUUUUCGAUGUGAGAAUAAUUGAUUGGUUAGCUAUCAAGAAGUAUAUGUAUAAGUUGGAAAAUC